rnacentral:rRNA from 1 species
UAUCAAUAAGCGGAGGACAAGAAACCAACAGGGAUUGCCCCAGUAACGGCGAGCGAAGCGGCAACAGCCCAGAUUUGAAAUCCGGUUCUUUCGCGAGAACUUGAGUUGUAAUCUGUAGAGGAUGUCGUUGGUUGACAGCUUUCCCGAAAUCCCUUGGAACGGGGUGCCAUAGAGGGUGAGAGCCCCGUGCGGGACGGCUGGACGAUCAUGAUGCGACUCCUUCGGCGAGUCGAGUAGUUUGGGAAUGCUGCUCUAAAUGGGAGGUAAAUUCCUUCUAAGGCUAAAUAUCGGCCGGAGACCGAUAGCGCACAAGUAGAGUGAUCGAAAGAUGAAAAGCACUUUGAAAAGAGGGUCAAAUAGUACGUGAAAUUGUUGAAAGGGAAGCGUCCGCGACCAGACUUGUAUUCGAACGAUCGUUCAGCGUUCGUCGCUGAGCCUCUCGUACGUUAUAUCAGGCCAGCAUCGGUUCGCGUCCGGGGGAGAAGCACAUUGGGAACGUGGCUUUCCUCUCGGGGAAAGUGUUAUAGCCUAAUGUAUGGUACCCUGGCGUGGAUCGAGGACCGCGCAAUUGCAUGGAUGCUGGCAUAAUGGUCGCUGGCGACCCGUCUUGAAACACGGACCAAGGAGUCGAGGUUUUCCGCGAGUGUGCGGGUGAUAAACCCGCCCGCGAAAUGAAAGUGAACGUAGGUGAGAGCUGUCACCGGCGCAUCACCGACCGAUCCCAAUGUUUUCGGCGGGAAUCGAGUACGAGCGGAAAGCCUCGGACCCGAAAGAUGACGAACUAUGCCUGCAUAGAAUGAAGCCAGAGGAAACUCUGGUGGAGGUUCGCAGCGGUUCUGACGUGCAAAUCGAUCGUCAAAUGUGGGCAUGGGG